UGAAACAUUCAACUGAUGAAUCAGCAGUCAAAGAGAAGAUGAGGGCCACGUUUCAGUAUCAUCAAACACUGGUUCAAGAUCAACAGUGCUCUUCAACAGUCUUGGAUGUCUUCCCACAGUUCCUUAACAUCACUGGCUUGAUUGACCAAGACUUCGGUGUCGGGCAGAUCUUUGGCAAAAUGUCCUACUUUUUUCAAACCUGGGAUCCUGACAGAGUGCAGAAAACUGAUUUCUAAUGAACACAUUGAAGAGCUCUUGUCUGCGAAGCACGACACAGGCUGGAACAGUGACCUGUCAAGCCUUCUACUGUUGCUUCACUUGCUUCCACCUACCUCCAAAGGCCAUAAGAAGAGUGCCAAAAUCUGUAAUCUGGUGCUCCUCUUUGAUACAGAUUGGGAAUAUUGUUG